GGCGACGCUGAACUUGGUCCAAGGCUUUAUGGGUACGGAAAUGCAUCCCUUUUGGUCCGGUCUGAACCGUUUUCCAAGUUUCAAGUCCCGUCACAGGUUGACUGGCCUAGGGUUUUGCAAAGGCAGCGAAACCUUCUCCAGAAUCAGCUUGACCCAUUUCAGGGAAGUGGACUUGGAUUUAGAGGUGGUGGAGUGGUGACAUUGUUAGAGAAUCUGGCGCAUUGUGAACCCCACAACCGUCUCUCCCGCUACCACUGAUGUGAAAAGGAAGCAAGUUGAGUUGACUUGCUUUGGUUGCUUUCUUAGUUUGUUUAGUUUUCUUCAUGUGGAUAUCUUGAUCAUGGGUUGAUUUUCUUAAUCUUGGCGCAAGUGGUGCUAAUAUGAGUAUU
rnacentral:misc_RNA from 1 species